rnacentral:rRNA from 1 species
UGCAGUCGACGAGAAGUGGAGCAAUCCAUGAGUAAAGUGGCGCACGGGUGAGUAACACGUGACUAACCUACCCUUGAGUGGGGAAUAACCUCGGGAAACCGGGGCUAAUACCGCAUAAUACCUUCGGGUCAAAGGAGCAAUUCGCUUAAGGAGGGGGUCGCGGCUGAUUAGCUAGUUGGUGGGGUAAUGGCCUACCAAGGCAAUGAUCAGUAUCCGGCCUGAGAGGGCGCACGGACACACUGGAACUGAAACACGGUCCAGACUCCUACGGGAGGCAGCAGUGGGGAAUUUUGCACAAUGGGGGAAACCCUGAUGCAGCAACGCCGCGUGGAGGAUGAAGUCCCUUGGGAUGUAAACUCCUUUCGACCGGGACGAUAAUGACGGUACCGGUGGAAGAAGCCCCGGCUAACUCUGUGCCAGCAGCCGCGGUAAUACAGAGGGGGCAAGCGUUGUUCGGAAUUAUUGGGCGUAAAGGGUGCGUAGGCGGUGCGGUAAGUCUUCUGUGAAAUCUCCGGGCUCAACUCGGAGCCUGCAGGAGAAACUGCCGUGCUUGAGUAUGGGAGAGGUGAGUGGAAUUCCUGGUGUAGCGGUGAAAUGCGUAGAUAUCAGGAGGAACACCUGUGGCGAAAGCGGCUCACUGGACCAUAACUGACGCUGAGGCACGAAAGCUAGGGGAGCAAACAGGAUUAGAUACCCUGGUAGUCCUAGCCCUAAACGAUGAUUGCUUGGUGUAGCAGGUACCCAAUCCUGCUGUGCCGCAGCUAACGCGUUAAGCAAUCCGCCUGGGGAGUACGGUCGCAAGGCUG